UACGAAGGGGGCUAGCGUUGUUCGGAUUUACUGGGCGUAAAGCGUGCGUAGACGGUUAUUUAAGUCAGGUGUGAAAGCCCCGGGCUCAACCUGGGAAUUGCAUUUGAGACUGAAUAGCUAGGGUGCGGAAGAGGGAAGCGGAAUUUCCGGUGUAGCGGUGAAAUGCGUAGAUAUCGGAAGGAACACCAGUGGCGAAAGCGGCUUCCUGGUCCAGCACCGACGUUCAGGCACGAAAGCGUGGGGAGCAAACAGG
rnacentral:rRNA from 1 species